GGGACACGUGGUAUCCUGUCUGAAUAUGGGGGGACCAUCCUCCAAGGCUAAAUACUCCUGACUGACCGAUAGUGAACCAGUACCGUGAGGGAAAGGCGAAAAGAACCCCGGCGAGGGGAGUGAAAAAGAACCUGAAACCGUGUACGUACAAGCAGUGGGAGCACGCUUAGGCGUGUGACUGCGUACCUUUUGUAUAAUGGGUCAGCGACUUAUAUUCUGUAGCAAGGUUAACCGAAUAGGGGAGCCGAAGGGAAACCGAGUCUUAACUGGGCGUUAAGUUGCAGGGUAUAGACCCGAAACCCGGUGAUCUAGCCAUGGGCAGGUUGAAGGUUGGGUAACACUAACUGGAGGACCGAACCGACUAAUGUUGAAAAAUUAGCGGAUGACUUGUGGCUGGGGGUGAAAGGCCAAUCAAACCGGGAGAUAGCUGGUUCUCCCCGAAAGCUAUUUAGGUAGCGCCUCGUGAAUUCAUCUCCGGGGGUAGAGCACUGUUUCGGCAAGGGGGUCAUCCCGACUUACCAACCCGAUGCAAACUGCGAAUACCGGAGAAUGUUAUCACGGGAGACACACGGCGGGUGCUAACGUCCGUCGUGAAGAGGGAAACAACCCAGACCGCCAGCUAAGGUCCCAAAGUCAUGGUUAAGUGGGAAACGAUGUGGGAAGGCCCAGACAGCCAGGAUGUUGGCUUAGAAGCAGCCAUCAUUUAAAGAAAGCGUAAUAGCUCACUGGUCGAGUCGGCCUGCGCGGAAGAUGUAACGGGGCUAAACCAUGCACCGAAGCUGCGGCAGCGACGCUUAUGCGUUGUUGGGUAGGGGAGCGUUCUGUAAGCCUGUGAAGGUGUGCUGUGAGGCAUGCUGGAGGUAUCAGAAGUGCGAAUGCUGACAUAAGUAACGAUAAAGCGGGUGAAAAGCCCGCUCGCCGGAAGACCAAGGGUUCCUGUCCAACGUUAAUCGGGGCAGGGUGAGUCGACCCCUAAGGCGAGGCCGAAAGGCGUAGUCGAUGGGAAACAGGUUAAUAUUCCUGUACUUGGUGUUACUGCGAAGGGGGGACGGAGAAGGCUAUGUUGGCCGGGCGACGGUUGUCCCGGUUUAAGCGUGUAGGCUGGUUUUCCAGGCAAAUCCGGAAAAUCAAGGCUGAGGCGUGAUGACGAGGCACUACGGUGCUGAAGUAACAAAUGCCCUGCUUCCAGGAAAAGCCUCUAAGCAUCAGGUAACAUCAAAUCGUACCCCAAACCGACACAGGUGGUCAGGUAGAGAAUACCAAGGCGCUUGAGAGAACUCGGGUGAAGGAACUAGGCAAAAUGGUGCCGUAACUUCGGGAGAAGGCACGCUGAUAUGUAGGUGAAGUCCCUUGCGGAUGGAGCUGAAAUCAGUCGAAGAUACCAGCUGGCUGCAACUGUUUAUUAAAAACACAGCACUGUGCAAACACGAAAGUGGACGUAUACGGUGUGACGCCUGCCCGGUGCCGGAAGGUUAAUUGAUGGGGUCAGCGCAAGCGAAGCUCUUGAUCGAAGCCCCGGUAAACGGCGGCCGUAACUAUAACGGUCCUAAGGUAGCGAAAUUCCUUGUCGGGUAAGUUCCGACCUGCACGAAUGGCGUAAUGAUGGCCAGGCUGUCUCCACCCGAGACUCAGUGAAAUUGAACUCGCUGUGAAGAUGCAGUGUACCCGCGGCAAGACGGAAAGACCCCGUGAACCUUUACUAUAGCUUGACACUGAACAUUGAGCCUUGAUGUGUAGGAUAGGUGGGAGGCUUGGAAGUGUGGACGCCAGUCUGCAUGGAGCCGACCUUGAAAUACCACCCUUUAAUGUUUGAUGUUCUAACGUUGACCCGU
rnacentral:rRNA from 1 species